rnacentral:rRNA from 1 species
AACGAACGCUGGCGGCAGGCUUAACACAUGCAAGUCGAACGCAUCCUUCGGGGUGAGUGGCAGACGGGUGAGUAACGCGUGGGAACGUGCCCUUCAGUUCGGGAUAACCCAGGGAAACUUGGGCUAAUACCGGAUACGUGCGAGAGCAGAAAGAUUUAUCGCUGAAGGAUCGGCCCGCGUCUGAUUAGCUAGUUGGUGGGGUAAUGGCCCACCAAGGCGACGAUCAGUAACUGGUCUGAGAGGAUGAUCUGCCACAUUGGGACUGAGACACGGCCCAAACUCCUACGGGAGGCAGCAGUGGGGAAUAUUGGACAAUGGGCGCAAGCCUGAUCCAGCCAUGCCGCGUGAGUGAUGAAGGCCUUAGGGUUGUAAAGCUCUUUCGUCCGGGACGAUAAUGACGGUACCGGAAGAAGAAGCCCCGGCUAACUUCGUGCCAGCCGCCGCUGUAA